UACGUAGGCAGCAAGCGUUGUUCGGAGUUACUGGGCGUAAAGGGUGUGUAGGCGGUUGCUUAAGUUUGGUGUGAAAUCUCCCGGCUUAACUGGGAGGGGGCCUCGAAAACUGCCAGGCUUGAGGCAUGGAGAGGGAUGCGGAAUUCCCGGUGUAGUGGUGAAAUGCGUAGAUAUCGGGAGGAACACCAGUGGCGAAGGCGGCAUCCUGGCCAUGUCCUGACGCUCAGGGGCGAAAGCGUGGGGAGCAAACCGG
rnacentral:rRNA from 1 species